CCCCGGGCUCAACCUGGGAACUGCGUUNUGAACUGGGUGACUAGAGUGUNUCAGAGGGAGGUAGAAUUCCACGUGUAGCAGUGAAAUGCGUAGAGAUGUGGAGGAAUACCGAUGGCGAAGGCAGCCUCCUGGGAUAACACUGACGUUCAUGCCCGAAAGCGUGGGUAGCAAACAGGAUUAGAUACCCUGGUAGUCCACGCCCUAAACGAUGUCGAUUAGCUGUUGGGCAGCAUGACUGCUUAGUAGCGAAGCUAACGCGUGAAAUCGACCGCCUGGGGAGUACGGUCGCAAGAUUAAAACUCAAAGGAAUUGACGGGGACCCGCACAAGCGGUGGAUGAUGUGGAUUAAUUCGAUGCAACGCGAAGAACCUUACCUGGUCUUGACAUGUACGGAACCCUCCAGAGACGGAGGGGUGCCUUCGGGAGCCGUAACACAGGUGCUGCAUGGCUGUCGUCAGCUCGUGUCGUGAGAUGUUGGGUUAAGUCCCGCAACGAGCGCAACCCUUGUCAUUAGUUGCCAUCAUUAAGUUGGGCACUCUAAUGAGACUGCCGGUGACAAGCCGGAGGAAGGUGGGGAUGACGUCAAGUCCUCAUGGCCCUUAUGACCAGGGCUUCACACGUCAUACAAUGGUCGGUACAGAGGGUAGCCAAGCCGCGAGGCGGAGCCAAUCUCACAAAACCGAUCGUAGUCCGGAUUGCACUCUGCAACUCGAGUGCAUGAAGUCGGAAUCGCUAGUAAUCGCAGGUCAGCAUACUGCGGUGAAUACGUUCCCGGGUCUUGUACACACCGCCCGUCACACCAUGGGAGUGGGGGAUACCAGAAGUAGGUAGGGUAACCGCAAGGAGCCC
rnacentral:rRNA from 1 species